CCUACGGGUGGCAGCAGUGAGGAAUAUUGGUCAAUGGGCGCAAGCCUGAACCAGCCAAGUCGCGUGAAGGAUGACUGCCCUACGGGUUGUAAACUUCUUUUAUAAGGGAAUAAAGUGAGGCACGUGUGCCUUUUUGUAUGUACUUUAUGAAUAAGGAUCGGCUAACUCCGUGCCAGCAGCCGCGGUAAUACGGAGGAUCCGAGCGUUAUCCGGAUUUAUUGGGUUUAAAGGGAGCGUAGAUGGGUUGUUAAGUCAGUUGUGAAAGUUUGAGGCUCAACCGUAAAAUUGCAAUUGAUACUGGCAGCCUUGAGUACAGUUGAGGUAGGCGGAAUGCGUGGUGUAGCGGUGAAAUGCUUAGAUAUCACGAAGAACGCCGAUUGCGAAGGCAGCUUACUAAACUGCCACUGACACUGAUGCUCGAAAGUGUGGGUAUCAAACAGGAUUAGAUACCCCUGUAGUC
rnacentral:rRNA from 1 species